GAUGAACGCUAGCGGCAGGCUUAACACAUGCAAGUCGAGGGGCAGCGAGAUCAGUGCUUGCACUGAUUGUCGGCGACCGGCGCACGGGUGCGUAACGCGUAUGCAACCUACCCAUUACAGGGGGAUAACACUGAGAAAUCGGUACUAAUACCCCAUAACAUCCAGGGAGGCAUCUUCUUGGGUUGAAAACUCCGGUGGUAAUGGAUGGGCAUGCGUUGUAUUAGCUAGUUGGUGAGGUAACGGCUCACCAAGGCGACGAUACAUAGGGGGACUGAGAGGUCAACCCCCCACAUUGGUACUGAGACACGGACCAA
rnacentral:rRNA from 1 species